rnacentral:ribozyme from 1 species
GGAAAGAGAGACAUGAAAAGAAAAUGACAAGGAAAGAGAAUUGUGAGAGAGCAAAAUAGCGUUUUUUAUUGUCUCACGUGUUCCUUUGACCGUUUUCUAUUCUUUUGUUUUCUUUUUAUCCUUUAUCUGUU